AUGACUAAGCCUGUAAAAAAGAAAGAAAGAAGAGAACAGAAUCUACCUGCAAAACUCAAUAGAUACAGCAGGGUUCUCACAUAUCACAAAAAAGAAAGGAUAUUCAAGUGCAUUCCCUCAUCUUCCCUUCUCUCCUUUAGCUUCUUUUUACAUCCCUUGCUUCUCUCCAAUCUCUCCAAUCUUCUCAGAGGAAGGUUUGCAUUAGUGAUGGCUUUUUCCAUCAGGGAUCAUCCCCUGUUUUGCUUGCUGCACAAUCCCUCCCUCUGAACCCAUUCCUUCCCCUCAUUGUAUAAAUAUGCUGUUUGCCAAGAAGAAAACCAAUCAUCCAACUACCACUUCCCUGACUCUGUGAUCUCACCGUUAUCUACUUUCUUAAAAGUGAAUAGUUGUUAAUGCUAAAUGUUAAGUACUCAUUAUGUGUCAAGCACCAUUCUCAGUUCUUUAUGUGGAUUAACUCAUUUAAUCCCCCACAGUGUUAUAAGGAAGAUACUAUACUAUCUUGACCAUUUUUUUUUUAAAUGAGGAAAAAGGCACAGAGAAGUUAAUGAACUACCCAAAGUCACACACUAGUAGAUGACAGAGCCAGGGGUUGAACUGAAUACCCUGACUCCAGAGUUCACAAGCCUGAUCUCUACACUUGUCCUUUGCCCCCACAGUUCUUGACAGAGUGGUCUCCAUCAUGCCUCUGCUUCUCACCUUCUCAGGUGGGAUUCUCACCUGUCUCGGCUCUUAGCCCUCCAUUCUUACUGAACCACCUUCCACCCUUGGUAUUCCACAGAAACUCUUCUGGAAAGCUACUAGUGACCAAAUCUGAAGAAUCUUACUUUACAAACAUUCGUUUCUAGUCACUAUCCAACAAAUAGAAAAAAAAUGUAAUAAGAUGUAAUUCCUACUUUCAAGGAGAAGGGUUUAGAAGACUAAACAAGGUAAUCACAAAACAAUGUGAUCUGUGUAAAAAUUAAAAAUAUGCAGAGGAUAUAGGAGAGAGUGUUCACUACAUCCUGAGUGGUCCAACAUGUUUUGUGAAAGUGAUGGUACCUGAACAGCAUUUGGAAGAGUGAAUAAGCAUUUUCCAGGCACAGGAAGGCAGAGAGAAUAUUCCAGAGAGAUUGUGAAGGAUAGAUAUUGUUUGAAAGACUCUGAUUCAAUAUUGCAGGAAAUAAGCAUCAGUAGAGUCUAAGAAGAGAAGACUGAGGGUGACUGAUAGAGAACAUGAUGGAAGAAGAGACUGG
rnacentral:lncRNA from 1 species